CCUCUCAGUAUCUCUGCUAAUCCAUGCUCCUAAGCAAUUAAAAUGGUUUGCCCUCCGCCAUACAUUAGGAAACAACUGUAUAGUUACAAUUGAAGACCACCAUCUACUAAAGGUAUACUAAACCAGGCAACUGACUUAAUAGUCUUUUUUGUCAAAGACUGAAUUGUGCUUGGAGAUAUAACGUUGACUGGGAAACAGGAUUCAGAUAGUAUAGAAGAGUUCUGUGUUGAGCUAAACCUUACCCAGCUGAUCACUAAGCCAAAAGACCAAAGUUAAAGCUGCCUAAACAUUCAACAUUGAUGGACUAUAUAUAUAUUGACAAAUCUACACCAUAGAUAUUUGUUAAGGGGUGUAUUACCACUAGAUAUUAGUGCCCACUGCUCUAUUGUGUGCAUCAGAGGUAGUCAGCAUGCCGAGGUACAGCUAGAGCAAUUCACUACUGCUUUCAUUGCAGAUAGGCAUGCUCCAUAUACAAGAGUUAGAAAAGAGAAAGGAGAAGAACAGAUUGAACCACUUGCUCUCUCAUGAUAUCUGAUGCCACUCAUAAAAUAAAUGUAGCACAGGUUAAUGCUAGAUAAACAGCUCCAAGUUCUGACUGGCAGACUUCUAAACAGUUGAGAAAUCUAUAUAAAAUCUCAAUAAUAUAUAAAUACAUUACCUGAUUGCAAGGGGAAUCCAGACAAAUUCUGGAUAGCCGUAAAAAGCCUGAAGAGCAGUUCCUACACCUCGUUGCCAAGACAAAUUGUUGUUCACUCUGGGCUCAUUACUGAUAAGAAAGCCAUUGUUCAAGACUUAAUGACCACUUCACUGCAGCAGGCCAUAUAAGAGAGAACUGCCAUAAUUCCCCUCACGUAAACAAAAAAAGAAGUGAUGAUUAACAAGCAUAAAUAAAUAACCAAGGUUUUUCGGUGUCACCGUUCAUGGUAAAAGACGGAUUUAAUGUUUCGGUAGUGACACCAAGAAAGCUUUGACAGACAUGACCCAGGUCUGCUAGGCCGAGAAGGCAGUUUGACCUUACGAAAGGCCAUUUCAACACCAACCGUAAUAACCUGAACACUGGAUAAACGGGCGUGG
ensembl:lncRNA